UACUCCGAUUUCUGCCCCACGUUCCUUACUCAGCCAUGGAAUAAUGGGUUCUACUUUUGGAGGAGAGAAAGCCACAUGACUUCAAUUAAACGCUUGAUACUUGUUUGUUGCGGUUGUGUGGAUCGUGUGAUGUGCCUUGACCACUAAGACCAAGGGCCAGAUUAAUGGCCGGGUUGGUUGGGGCCGCUCUACAUUU
rnacentral:snoRNA from 1 species